UCAGGUCAGCCUUUUUUCUGGUUUCCUACCUGCUCAGCGAGACACCUGGGUCCUCUUCUCACCAUUUGCUCACUACCCCCCCCCCGCCCCGCCCCAGUCUUAUUCCUUCCUAAGAGCCUGCCCAUUCACUGGAAGGAUGCAAAUAUCUAGCUCCCCUUGGAGCUUCAGGCUCCCCAGGGGUGGGGAAAGGGGUUGAGCACCUCCUCUUUGAGGAGGUUGCUGCCUUUGAUUUUCUAGGAGUUCAGAAGGUGGAGAGACCCCCAGAUUUUCCCAGAGGCUGUUAGUGCCCAGUGCCCUGAGGCUGAAACAUCACAUUCCUUCCCAACCCUUCUCAGAGCACCCAUGACCCCUUCUGAACUUGUCCAGUCUGAUUAGGUGUGGUGUUUCUGGCAGCCGAAACUGAGAUCUUAAUUGUUUCUGCCUCCUCUGAACUCACCCGUGUUUGGUUUUUUUGUGUGCAUGCAUUUAAACUAGCAGCUCCCUGAGAGCAGAAGCUGUGUCAGAUCCCUCCCACUCUCUCAGCUUCUCUCUGGGGCCUUGCACCGGGUAGGUGCCAAUCAACAUAUGCAUGCUUGAACUGUUUCAUACAGUGGGACGUUCCAGGUUUUCUUACGGGAUUUCCCUGGUCCCGUGGGAAGUAGAUAAUUUGUGCAUCAGAAUCAGACAUGACUGAUUGUUGGCCGGUCUCAAAGGAAGAGGCUGACUUUUUGAGGCUGAUGGUUUUCUUUUCCUCUUCCCAGUCUCAGGCUGCUUGUCUAGGCUGUCUGGCAUCUUGAGCAUAGAGGACUCUUUGCGACAGAAAUGACCAGUUUUGAGGGCAGCUUGUCACUCUGGUAAUUGCUGCAGAUCAUCCAGAGGGCCUUGUAGAUGUUUCUGGUAGAUUUUACUGUUUGGAAACCGAGGGCUCCACCUUUCCCAAACCCCUGGCUCAAACCCUGAUGGCCAGGGUUUCUCUCUCUUAAAUUCAGUAUCUACAUGGGUUUUUUUCCUUCAUGAAAUCUCCUUCCUCUUUGUUCCUCUGCCCUCAUGCUAUACCACCAUCAGGGGCAGGAGGCCAGGGUUCUAGCAGCUCUACCAUUACCUUGCUGUAUGUGUCGUUGACUACUUCCCAUCUCCCUCUCUGAACCUCCCUUUCUCCAUGUGUAAAAGAUGGUUAUUGGUCUAGCUUCAGCAAUCUGUGAUACCAUCAUCGAAUCGAUGAGGAGUAGAAUGGCCACUUUUCUUUCCUGGACAGGUCUCCCUUGUAGCAUCCCUAGUUGCGUGGGCUCCAUACUGGACACAGCCCCAGGUCAAGGGGGAGCAUGCCCUGCCAAAUGCAUAUUCUCCUUUGGAAGAACUGUAGCCAGUUUUAAAAUAGCUCCUGACAUUCUGCCUCUGCCUAGAGAAAGCCCUCGUAUUUCAUUUGCUGUGGAUCCCAGAGACUUUCUGAUUUUCAUUUUCUGUAGACCCAGAUGUGUAGAAAGAAGGUCAAGGUUAACUGCCAGUUUGGCCUGAGCUUUCAAAGUAAAUUACUCACUUAUGCAAGAGGGGAUUGAUGGAGGAAGGCAGCCUUUUGGGCAGACAGGAGAGCAACAGCUGGGCGCUGCUCAGAGCCCCUAACUGAAAUGGACAGACAGACUCACCUGGGAAGUUCUAGUUCUUGUUUAUUUCUUUUCCUCUGGAAUCACUUGAUGAGGAGGAACAAGAAGUGGUGAAGGGGUUUGGUGGUGGUAGUGGUGGGGGUUGCCUACGGGUUAUCCUUGCUCUAAAGAAAAUCUCUUUGCUUCCUGGGAGCAGCAGAAUGGAGCUGUUUUCCCAAGGAUAAGCUCUUCUAGGUGUUACAGGAUUCAGCAUUCAUCUGCUGCCUUUAUUAGCAACACCCUGCCAAAUUUCCACACAGCCCCUUUUUGUUUCGCUUUCCUGCAGAUGCUGAGCACUGGGCUUGGCCCCCAGUCCCUUGUUUGAAUGUCAGCUGGCCUUGAGGGAAGAGGCUGACUUCUCAAAGAGAUGGUGUUCCAUCCCUCAUUCCACUGUACUGGAACGUGCACGCAACACAUCGGGUUGCUAUCUGGGAAAUCUGGCAUCUUGAACGCACAGAGCUUCUUUCAACAAGGCUGGCCAGUUCUGAGCUCAGCCUGUCACUCUUAUAAUUAUUGAAAAUCAUCCCAGAGCACCUCUUUGAUCUUUCUGGUAGAAAUAACUGCAGAGGCUCUGGGGAAAAGUCUGGCAGGACUUUAUCCAAAUGAAAAAUAUAUUCCUUGUGGGUUUGAGAGAAGUUUCUUUGAGGGUAAGAUACCCACUGUUUGAGCAGUUCUCUAAUGCCUUGAUUUUUCUAUUGGGUUGAAGAAUAAGGAGUUUCAAAAUAAGAACGUUUACUGUUGCUAGGAAGUCUACAUAACUGUCAGGCUAGCUCAGCCUGGGUGUACCUCUGGAGCUCGGAAGGGCAGCUGAUUGAUAAAGGAAACAUAAUGCUUCUAGGAUUUCAGCAUGUAUCUGGUCCGAUAGCUGACUUCUCGGAAAGCUGCAAAACCAAGCAAGAAAAGCCAGUCUUGAAGCCAUCUUCAUUUUAAUUUGGGGGUCCCUCUCACUUCCAGCUCCAGUGUGCUAACGUCUUGGUUUAAUUCCACAGCCCGUUUCAUAUUUCAGACUUGGGAACUGGUUAUUAAAACCCCAUGUUAUGAAAUGUGAUUCAGCCUCUUCCCAUCUCUGAGCCAUAAGCUCUUGUGAGAAAUGACUUCAUUGGAUAAUAGCGUCCAUGGAAUAGAAAUUGGUGGGAUAAUGGAAUACAAAUGAUUUUAAUUUUCACGUCUCAGGAGUUUUUCUCAUUGUGUCAGAGCUGAACUUUAUUCUUAGAGCAUCCAGAAAUCAAUAUUUUUUUUCCCUUUUUUUUUUCAGUCUUCCGGGUGCCAGAGCCUUGCCCAUUAGAAAGUUAAGUACCACAGAAAUGUAGCCUUGGAACGAUUUAUUUUCUGCAGAGGGGCUGAGAACUUUUAGAUUGCUAAUCACUUCUCUGUCUGUAUGCCCAGGUGAAAUCUGAUGCCACUGGAGAAGGGUUGUUGAUUUACUGGAUCAAGUCUGGCUCCCUGUAUUCUUCCUCAUAUCCUGAACUUGCUGUGCCCCAAGGGACCCAGCAGAGAGAAGGCUUAGGAACAGAAGGCCUGGGUUCUGGUCCUCUCUCCAGCUCUAAACCUACUGUGUGACUUCAGGGAAGUGGUUUAACCUCUCUGGACCUUGGAUUCCUCAUCUGUGAAGGAGAGUGCUCAGGAUACAGUGAUCAUUGCAGCAGACAGCAAGGACCCAGAUGUGACAACAUACAAGCCCAGUAAAGUGGAGCAGGUGCUGGGAGAGAAGCAGGAUGGAUGGGUCAGUGGAGGAACCCAGAUAUUUCCAGGUCCAGGACCCCCGACCCUGAGCAGUUGAUGCACUGAAGAUGCCCAGGAUGGGUACAAGCCUCCCAAGAUCUCAGGAGUGUAUCAGCUUGAGAGAGAAAGUUUCUAAUAGAGUAGCAGAAGGGCUGGCCUUUCACCUUGAUUGCAGCAGGCCUCAGUAUCACAUCUGGCUAAGGAGAGGAAAAGCUGCCCUCUCUUCUCUCUCUCAUGUUACCCAUUCUGGUCUCCUUGGCCUCCAGGAUCAUACAAGGGAAUGUUUUUUCCUGACCACACUCCAGGCAUGAGCAGUGUCUAGCUUCCAUGUCACCUGGUGCCAGAGAUGUGAUGAAGAAAUUCCAGGAGAUAAAUGGAGAUUACAUGGAAAUCAAUCAUGUGCAGCUGGUGUUCUCUGCAGGCACGUGUUCAAUUUUAUUUUCAUUUUUCUCCCUGUUCCCUGGGAUCAGCUCCUUUAAGAACUUGACACCAGCUAGACUUAUGUGAUUAAGUGGUAAACAUAAGCUGGCUGCUGGAACCCUCUGUGUGUUUCUACAGAACUGAGAGGUUGUUCAGGGUAACUGAUGGAGACAUGAGUCUUUUGUGCCACAGAGGACAUGGGAACUGUUUAAAGGCAUUUUACUUCUUGUUUCUUGAAAUCCUACCUUUAAAAAGUUGGCUUUUACUGUGUUGGCAUCUCCUGUCUGGAGGGGGGAUGGGAGGAUAGAGAGAGUUGGAAGCUGGCAAAAUUGUCACGAAAGGAGAGACUGGAGGGGCUGACUCAUUAGGAGGAGAGCAAGUGGGAGUAAGGAGUAAGAUGUAUAUAAACUUAUAUGUGACAGACUGACUUGAUUUGUAAACGUUCACUUGAAGCUCAAUAAAAGUUAAUAAUAAAAAAAAAAAGUUGCCUUUUUUGUUAUUUCCCCUUAAAAUUCACGUAUAAUUUUGGCUGCUCUCGGCUACAUGUAGUAGAAGACUCGGAUAUCUGGGAGGAGAAUGUGGGAAUAAUUCAGUGGCUCAUCAACAUCAUCUGAGAUCAGUAUUCCUGCCAUCUUUCUGUCCUGCCAUAAUCAGCAUGUUUUCCUCAGGUUAUAGUUCCUCAUUGUCUCAAGAUGGCUGCUGCAGCUCCAGAUAUCACAUGUAGACACAGAAACCUGCAGGAUGGAUAACUGGAUAAAAUCAGUGUUCUAUUAGGAAGAAAGGGUUAGAGUAAAAAAUAACUGCUGGAGUGGCUUAAUCUAGGUAUCAAUCUUUGUUCAGAAAGAUUUGCCCUCUCUCUUCUAUAUAAGACAUUAAGUACAAACAUCCUGGCAUACUGGGACUUCCACAGAAUGCCCUCAACUUACAUUUCCUGGUUUUAUUGUCUACUGUUCGUUCUUUGCAGGUAGGCAUUGGGCAGCCAAACAGGACCACUUACUGUUGCUAGAACUUGCCAUACAUUUCAUUUUUACCCCCUUGCAUGUGCUUAGGCUGUGCCCUGUAUCUGGAACAUAACCUGUCCAUGACCCUUCUCUCUCAAUGUAAAACAUGUCAAGGACAGAGCCUUCCUCUUCUCCUGCGCAUCCUCGUCUUUUUAAAACAAGCUUUUUAUUACAAAACAAAAUAUAAAAGACUGAAAACCAUACAAAACAGUUGUAAACUUAAUGUAUUAUAAGGUGAACACCCUUGUAGCCACCACCAGGCCAAGAAAUAAAAUGUUGCCCUUUCCAGUCACAGUUCCCAUUCACCCUAGACACUGUAGUUCAGUCUCACCUAUUUUAAAGUUUUAUGUGUCCUUUAAGUCAGGUUUCUCCUCCAUUUCUUUCUUAUGAUUUGCCUCUCAAAGAACCCAGGCUUGUAGACUUAUUUAAUGCAUACUCAUGGUUCAGGUUAACAUGUUCCUUGGUUUCCUUUAUUUCCUGCAAAUUGGCAGCUGGAUCCAGAGGUGAUCAGACUAGUGGGGAUUCUCUGGCAAGACUAUAUUUGUUGUUAUGUUCCUUCAUCAGGAGAUGCAUAAUAUUUGGGGUUUUGCUCUUUUUUUUUUUUUAAUGUUAGCAGCCAUUAAUUGUUGUAAAAUGGUGGUAUUCUAAUUCUGCCUUUUUUUUCCCUCCGUUUAUUCAGUGGGAGUGUUCUUCACAUUUCUGCCCUGAGUCCUUGUGGCAUGAUCCCAGAGGUCUUUCAUAGCUUCCUUGGCCUCUAGUGUGUUAAGAUGUUGUAAAUUCGUUGGCACGUUUUCUUCUCCAGACAUGGAAUCAGUCACUUCUCCAAGAAGCCCCCUUGAUUUCUUUUAGGAGGAAAUGGUAUUUCAGGACCACAGUAUGGGCACUAGGGAUGCUCUUUGCUACUGGGUUUGCUACUGGCCUUUUCAUGAGACAGCGGUAGAAGAUUAUAAAUAUAUUUAUUCUUACAAAUUUGUAAAAUACCUCGAGUUCAUAAAUAUAUGUUCAAUUUACAUUCAAGACUCUCUAGUUUUUUCUAUUCUCUAUUACAUCUGUGUAUCUCCUUUCUUCACAUCAAGAACCCUGGUUUUCGAAGACACGGGAUAGUAGAAUUAGACUCUUUUGUCUUAUCCCACAUUAUACACACAGCAGUCUCAAUAACAAUACUAAUUCUACUACCAAUAUAAUACUGAAAAGAUUAAAAAUUACUUUUGCAUGUACUUUCUCUGUUCUCUCCCCAUUGUGUCUAUUGUCCUAUAUCUGUGUUAUACUGUUCUCUUUCCUAUUUACUCUUUUUUAGUCUUAGUUCUACAGGUAACUAUAUAUAUUUAAUGUUCACCAUCAGUCUGUGUAUUGAUGUCUCUGUUGUCAGUUUGGUUAUCUGAACCUUGUUCUCUAACACGUUCCUUAGGAAAGACUCAUGGGAGCAAUAUUUCUUGAGUUCUUAAAUGCUGAUAGCAGAUGUGCCCUUUAUACUUAAAAGUCAAUUUUGCUGGAUAUAAAACCCUUGGCUCACAUUACCUUUCCUUGAAUAUCUUAUAUAUGCUACUACAUUUUCUUCUGACAGAAAGCAUUACUGUCACAAAGUUUUAUGGUAAUCUAAUUCUCUUCCCCUUAUAAUUCACUUGUUUUUUUUUUUUUAAUAUAUAAAGGAUGAGUCCACCCAUCCUUUUUUCCUUUCUCCCCCCUUCCCUCCAUCCUUCUUUUCCUUCCUUUCUUUCCAGUAAGUUUAUAUACUGGAUUAUGCCUUAGUGUUGGUCAUUCUAAGUUGAUAUUCUUAGUUAUAGAGUGUGCUCUUCAAAUAUAUAGUUUCAUUUUUUUCUAAUUUCAAAAAAACUUUCUUGAAUUAUAGUUUUUAGUAUUUUUUAUUAUCUUUUCUUCCUUCAGCAAAUCCUUAUCUGUAUGUCAGAUCUUUUUUGCCUAUCUUUACUAUUUGUCGCUUUCACUUGAUUCUUUACUUCUCUCUCUAACCCCCACCUUCAUUUCUUCUUUGUUUAAAAAAAAAAAGUCCUCUUUUUCACCUGUUGUGUUUUUUAUCUUUUUAUUUCUUCUAAUUUGGUAUUCAUUUCUGAAAUGUUUUCCUUCUUUAUUUCUAAUUCCUUUUUUAGUUUGUUUCCUCAUUUCUUGAGUCUAAUUCUAACUUGUUCUUUCAUGUCUUGUAGCAUUUUGUUAAUAUCUUUUAGCUCAUUUUGAAUAGGUUACAAUUUUGAUCUGUUUUGUGACCAUGUCUUUUGCCUGUGCUCUUUGUCUGUAGAGAUGUUAUUCUGCUUCUUAUCCUUUUUAUGGGAUUUGAGACUAAUACUUUUCUGUUGCUCAUUUUUUUGUGAAAUUAAUUUUCUUGAACUUUUAGGAUAUGAUGAAUAUCCUAGGCUGGGUUCUCUAGAGAAGCAAAACCAGUGAAGUGUAUAAACAUAUAUAGAGAUUUAUAUCAAGGAAAUGACUCACAAGGUUGUAGAGGUUGGAAUGUCCCAAGUCCUCGAUCAGGAUAGAAGCUUCUCUUGACUCACGUAGCUAUAGGGGCUGGCGAGCCCAAGAUUGGCAGGUCAGAGAGCAGGGCUCUUGCUCACAGGCUGUGAAGAUCAAUGAAUCCCAAGAUCGUCACGGAAGACCGCAGGUAAGCUGCUAGCUCAAGUCCCAAGCUCCCAUGAACAGAAGCCAGCUGUAAGAUCCAGCAUGAGCAAAAGCCCAUGAGCCUUGCCAAAAUGUUCACUUAUUCAGUACAGGCCACUCACCCAAGGAAACACCCUUUCAACUGAAGGGCUGCUCACAGCAGAUCCCAUCAUGGAGGUGAUCACAUGAUAUCAAAUCUCAUCAUGGAAGUGAUCACAACAACAUAUGACUGCUAAACCACUGAGAAUCAUGGCCCAGCCAAGUUGUAACACAACCUUAACCAUCACAGUGAGGUUUGGGGAGGUUUUUCUAACUUCACAGAUCCUCCUCUUCUAUGUUUUAUGGAUAAUGUUAAAAAUUGUGACAGUUUGCUUGCUUAGAUUUCCAGGCUGUGUUCCCCUCUCCCAUUUUGUCUGAAAUUCCUCUUUCCUUUUGUCUCUGUUGUUUGUGGCCUGUUCAAUUUUGACUUUACUUUUAGCAGUUUCUCAUCAGUGCAGGUCUUGAUCUUCUCUGGCCGAUGAGCAUCAAGAGUUCACAGGGGCUAGAUUGCUCCAACCCCUCCAAACCUGCUUACUGUAGACCUCUUGUACCCACCUGUUACUGGAUUCGGUAGAAAACGUCCCGAUUUUAGCUACUGUUCUCACAUUGGCCCACCAUGCUUUCCGGUGAAUACCUGUUGUUUCUUUUGGUGUUCUGUUCUCAAGACUAUUAGCCACUGCUCCCAUUGCUUACUUUUUGCUCCUGUGCAGACUCCAAUAACACAAAGCCUUGUGACUAAUGAUGGUUUGUUCUCACCCAUUUAUAUUUUAGGGUUCAUUGGGAUGCCUUUUUAGUUAAUUUGGUUGUAAAUGUUGUUCCAUGGGCUUCGCUGUGUAAUUGUUCAGUGUGCUUACAUGGGGAUUCAGGGAUACUUAAAAACUACCCUGCCUCUGCCUCCUCUGCUAUCUUUCUUCAUCAUUUAAUUCCUCCAGUGCCUCUUACAUACAUUGUGGAUGCUCAUAAAUGUUGACAUCACACUGAAGAAUUGUUCUUGUGGGCAGAAAAAAUAUUUACCUGGAAAUAUUUUGUUUUAUGUAGACCAUUUGAUCCCAGAAUUCCUGUGGUUUUUUUUGUUUGUUUUUUUUUUUUUCCUGUCUCCAGGUACCUUUUAUUAGUGAUGAAUGCCUAGAAGGAGUAAUACUAAAUGAGGAGUUUUGUUUUUUUGUACUGGUGUCAGUGCCUCUUUGAAAAAGUGCACUGCCCCAGAAAAGCAAAUACAUUUUUAUGUCAAGUGGCAAUUCUGAUGAAUUCCUAAUGGCUUUUGGAAGCAUUAUGUUAAGAAGGAGUCUGAAGCCACAUCCUAUCUCACUGGGUUUAUAAAUUAGAGGGCUUUGCACCACAAGUAACAGAAAACCCAAUUCAAAAUGACUGAAACAAUAAGAGGAUUUAAUAUACUAAAAUAGCAAGAAGUCCAGGGGCAGGGCAGCUUCAGAGCUGGUUAAGUCAGCAGUUGGAUAAUGUCAUCUUUCUUUUCUAUCAUCCUCAGCAUGUCUGCCUUUUCCCCUCAGAGAUACAAGAUUCCUGCAGAAGCUACAACCCAGAUCAUAGACAAUAUUUUUUCCUUGUCACUUUUUAAUCAGUGAGAAUACCCUUUCCCUGGUCCCUGCCUCUAACGCCAACAGAUUCCUCAAGUGAUUCUAUCCUUCAACCAAUCCCUAGUAAGGAAAAUGGUACCACCACGAUUGGCACAGACUCGCCAAGAUAUAUCACUCAGUUCUGUGAGGAAAAUGUGGUAACUAUAAUAAAAUCAAGGCCCUACCUGCCAGCCAGAAAGGGAAAAUAACUAUUGGAUAAACAAUUGCAGUGUUUUCCACAAUGAGGAGUAUCAUGAUUGAUGAACUAUGUCUGCUGUGGGCAUAGGACAGUGAUGUGGUGUCAUAGGGCCAUGUAUUUGUUACACCCGAUGUGACCCUUUAGUGUUUAAAAAAAUUCUUUCACAUCUGUUGUCUCUACUCUUGGUCAAAACUGUCCUUGACCAAGCAGAUAGGAAUCACUAUUCUUACUUUGUAGUAGGGACACUGAGACCCAGAGAGGCAAAUAGACUUGUACAAGGUCACGCAUCCAGGGAAUGACAAAGCAGGGUUUCCUGACUCCAAGUCUGGUACGCCUUCUGCUUUCCCAUACUUUCCAACUCUAGUGGUUGGUUGAAACCAGGUUCCUUUUCUAGAGGGGCAGGGAAGGGACACUAAAAGGGAAGCCUGGAGGCUACCAAGGCUGGUCAAGACCUCACCCUACAAGAAGGCUUGCUUUAUUUCUUUCCUUCUUUCUUUUCUCUCUCUCUUUGUCCUCCUCCUCUGCUUCCUCCGUCUCCUUUUAAUAGCAACUUUAUUGAGAUAUAACUCACAUACCAUGAAAGGCCAGCUCUUUAAGGUAUACAUUCCAUUGGUUUUUGGUGUAUUCACAGAGUUGUGCAUCCAUCGCCACUAAAGCCUUCCUUUCUCAGUAACCCUUAUAACUUUGCAACUAGAGAGGGGAGGUUUGCAGAGGGAGAGCCUGGUGAUGGCUCCCUGGGGUUCCAGGUCUGUGCCUUGUCAAGGGUAACAAAUGCAGAUCCCUACAGGGGUUCAGGCAGGCCAGGUGAAUGAGUGACGCCACCUAUGUGAGAGAGCAGAACAGGUCCAUUAGUUGAAUGCACUUGUGUUCUUAAAUGUUCAGAGUAAACAGUUACGUGAAUGAGAGAGAGUGUGAUGAGGUUUAUAAUCAAAUAUCUGUUUCACAUAUUUGUCGUCAAACACUGUAACAAUGCUUGCACAAGAUGGCUUGAUGGUUCCCCCUUGUUCUGUAGUCAGCCACAGAUGUUUUGAUGUUAACAAUUCUACACGGGCUUCAACAGAUGGCUCCCCAAACCCUGCUGCUCUGUAAACAACAUGUGUACAUCAUCUCCUCCACCUUAUCCUGUACCUCGAUAGAGGAAAGAAAUGAUCCUUUUUGACUGGGCAAUGCUCAGCUGUUUUAUCCAUUAUCUCUUUGGUUUUAUACCAGCCUUGUGAAGUUUUCACCCCUGUUUUAGAGAUGUAGAAACUGAGGCUCAGAGAAGUUAAAUAAUUGCCCAAGGCCACUUAUCUGGCCAGUUGCAGAGUCAGUUUUGAAUCUGGAUUGCUGACUCAAAACCAAUGUAUUACUUUUCACUUAUUUUUGCUUUCUUGCUUUUAUGACUGUGCUUUUACCUGAGUGGGGUUCCUUGGCCCCGGAUUUUAAAGUUGAGCUUUGGGGGCUAGAAAAACCCACUUCAUCUCUGCCUUCCUAAUGCUUUUUCUUUUUAAAAAGACAUCUGUAUUAGGACCCUUUGGUUGCAAGUGACUGAAACUCAUCUUGAAUCAGCUUAGAUAAAAAGAAGGAAUUUAUUGAUUUAGGAAACUGAAAAGAGCUGGACUGCCUUCACGUAUAACUGGAUCCAGGGGUUUGGAUGUCUUUAGAGACCUCUUCUUGGUGCUGUUUGCUUCCCCUCAGGGUGGCAAGAGGCUUCCAGCAGCUCCAGGCUUUCUUCCACCAGCGUGGCAGAGCCAGCAGAAGGAGAGAGGUGCUUUACCAAUACUUGCAGUUAGAGUCACUGUACCAACCUUCGUUACCUGGUUUGGGCCAUGCACUUAUCUUUAAAGCUUGUGUUGUGGUCAGAGGAUACCAUACUCUCUGGUCCUAUAUGGGUUAAGUCUCCACACUUGAAACUGAGGUAGAUGCCAGUCCCAAACCUCAUGAACUGGCAGUGGAAGGCUGAUUCUGCAAGAUGUACAUGUGCAUUCCAGAAAGAUGAGGGACUAAAUGUUGGGUAGGCAAUUGCCUGCUUCUAUAUUUAGGAUUAAUAUUCAUUAAGUAUCCCGAGGACCCAAAAAAAGUACCCUCAACAAGGAUCCUGGAUUACAAAAAAGGGGGGCCAAAUACAGAAUAUUAAUACCACUUCAAUAACAGGUAUCCUUUUAUCAACAGUUCAGAUAUUGGGACAUUUGCCAAACUUGUACUUUUAAUAAUAGAAAAAGAAUGGGCAAGAUUUAUUUUGCCACGUAGAACUCACAUAGCUACAAUAUAGAUUUCCUAGGGUCUUAGCACAGCUUCCUAGUAUGGUAAUGCUUCAUCUAUCUAACAUCAUUAGGGAGUGAGGUUUUCUGGGUGAGUGGUUUAUGCUUUUAAGAUUUAAGUCUGUUAAAAAAAACUUUCGUAAAACACUUCUUUACACUAAUAAAUUACACUGAUAAAAUGAACAUAAAUUAACACUUUCUAAACCAUUUUGUAACAUGCUUCUAGAAGUUAGGGUGUAUACUAGUAGGUGUGAAAAACAGCAGAAUAAAAGCGACCUUUAUUUUCUGGUCCUGAGUUGUGAGUGGUGGGGGGUGGCGGGGGGAGGUGAGGACAUAAUUUUUGUAUGAAACAAACUUGAGUACAUAUGGAAUGUGCUCUUAUAUCUUGGUGCUGUUGAGUCAGUUCUGACUCAUAGUGACCCUCUGUACAACAGAACACUGCCCAGCCCUGCACCAUCCUCACACUGGUUGCUUGAGCCCAAUGUUUGAGCCCAUUGUUGAAGCCAUUGUGUCAGUCCAUCUCUUUGAGGGUCUUUCUCUUUUUCACUGACCCUCUACCUUACCAAGCACAGUGUCCUUCUCCAGGGACUGGUCUCUGUUAAUAGCAUGUCCAGAGUACUCAAGACAAAGUCUCGCCAUCCUCCCUUCUAAGGAACAUUCUGGCUGUGCUUUUUUCAAGACUGAUUUGUUUGUUCUUCUGGCAGUCCGUGGUAUAUUCAAUAUUCUUUGCCAACACCAUAAUUCAGAGGCAUCAACUCUUCUUCAGUCUUGCUUAUUCAUUAUCCAGCUUUCACAUGCAUAUGAGGUGACUGAAAAUACCAUGGCUUGAGUCAGGCACACCUUAGUCCUCAACAUGACAUCUUUGCUUUUGAACACUUUAAAGGGGUCUGUUGCAGGAGAUUUGCCCAAGCAGUAUGCUGUUUGAUUAUUUUAUUUUAUUGUGUUUUAGGUGAAAGCUUACAGUGCAGAGUAGUUUUUCAUUCAAAAAUUUUAUACACAAAUUGUUUUGUGACAUUAGGUGCAGUCCCCACAAUGUGUCAGCGCUCUCCCCUUUUCCCUUUCCACCCUGGGUGCUCAGUGUCCAUCUAAUUUUCCUGUCCCUCCCUGCCUUCUCGUCGUUGGUUUUGGGCAGCUGCUGCCCAUUUGGUCUCAUAUACUUGACUGAACUAAGAAGCACCUUACUCAGGUGUGUUAUUUGUUUGUUUUACAGGCCUGUCUAAUCUUUAGCUGAAAGUUGGACUUAGGGAGUGGCUUCAGUUCUGAGUUAACAGGAUGUCCGGGGCUGUAGUCUCAGGGGUUCAUGCAGUUACUGUCAGACCAGUAAGUCUGGUCUUUUUUUGUGAAUAUGAAUUUUGUUCUACAUUUUUCUCCCAUUCUGCCUGGAACUCUCCAUUGUGAUUUCUGUCAGAGAGGUUAAUGGUGGUAGCCGGGCACCAUCUAGUUCUUCUGGGCUCGGGUUGUUGGAGGCUAUAAUUCAUGUGCUCCAUUAGUCCUUUGGACUAAUAGUUUCUCUGGGUUUUCUUCAUUCUCCUUUGCUCUGAACACACUGGGACCAAUAGAUGUAUCUUAGACGGCUGCUUGCAAGCUUUUAGAACCCCAGACACUGCUCACCAAAGUAGGAUGUAGAAUGUUUUUUUUAUAAACUAUGUCAUGCCAGUUGACCUAGAUGUCCCUGGAGACCAUGGUCCCCAGCCCUCCUCCCCAGUAACUUAGUCCCUCACGGUGUUUGGAUGUUUCUCAGAAGCUUCUAUGACUUUGCCUUGGUCAACUUGUGCUGACUUCCCCUAUAUCGUGUGUUGUCUCUCCGUUCACCAAAGUUAAUACUUGUCUACUAUCUAGUUAAUGACUUCCCCUCACCACCCCUCCUCUCCCUUGUAACCAUCAAAGAUUUUUUUUUUCUGUGUGUAAACCUUUUCUUGAGUUUUUAUAUUAGCGGUCUCAAAGAAUAUUUGUCCUUUUGUGAUUGACUAGUGUCACUCAUUGUAAUGCCUUCCAAAUUCAUCCGUUUGUGGAAUUCAUCAUUGUUCUUUAUGAUUAUGUAGCAUUCCAGUAUGUGUAUGUACCACAAUUUAUUUAUUCAUUUAUCUGUUGAUGGGCUCUUAGGUUGUUUCCAUCUUUUUGCUAUUGUGAAUAAUGCUGUAGUGAACAUGGGUGUGCAUAUGUCUAUUUGUGUGAUGGCUCUUAUUUCCCUAGGAUAUGUUCCUAGGAAUAGGAUUGCAGGAUCUUUCAGUAUUUCUUUUUCCAACUUUUUAAGGAGGUGCCAUAUUGUUUUUCAUAGUGGUUUUACCAUUUUACAUUUUCACAAGCAGUGCAUAAGAGUUCCAAUCUCCCACAGCCUCUCCAGCAUUAU